CACCAGCCCCUCGAGUGGUGGGGAUGAUUAUUUGGCCUAAAGCGUCCGUAGCCGGCCGGGUAAGUUUCCCGUUAAAUCCAGCGUCUCAAGCGUUGGACUGCGGGAAAUACUGCCUGGCUAGAGAGUGGGAGAGGUCAGCGGUAUUCUGGGGGUAGGGGCGAAAUCCUUUGAUCCCCGGAGGACCACCAGUGGCGAAGGCUGCUGACUAGAACACGUCUGACGGUCAGGGACGAAAGCUGGGGUAGCGAACCGGAUUAGAUACCCGGGUAGUCCCAGCCGUAAACGAUGCAUGCUAGGUGUUGGGUUGGCCACGAGCCACCCCGGUGCCGCAGGGAAGCCGUUAAGCAUGCCGCCUGGGAAGUACGGCCGCAAGGCUGAAACUUAAAGGAAUUGGCGGGGGAGCACCACAAGGGGUGAAGCUUGCGGUUU
rnacentral:rRNA from 1 species